UUUAAAGAGGAUAGGAUGCUACAGGUGGA
rnacentral:piRNA from 1 species